AUUGAACGCUGGCGGCAGGCCUAACACAUGCAAGUCGAGCGAGCGGCGGACGGGUGAGUAAUGUCUGGGGACUGCCCGAUGGAGGGGGAUAACUACUGGAAACGGUGGCUAAUACCGCAUACUAUCAGAUUACCCAUAUGGGAUUAGCUAGUAGGUGGGGUAAAGGCUCACCUAGGCGACGAUCUCUAGCUGGUCUGAGAGGAUGAUCAGCCACACGGGGACUGGGACACGGCCCAGACUCCAAGGGGGGCAGGAGGGGGGAAUAUUGCACAAUGGGGGGAAGCCUGAUGCAACCAGUCCGGGUGGUGUAAGAAGGCCUUAGGGGUGUAAAGUACUUUCCUCGGGGAGGCGUUACCCGCAGAAGAAGCACCGGCUAACUCCGUGCCAGCAGCCGCGGUAAUUC
rnacentral:rRNA from 1 species